GCAUGUGUUGCAUUGUCUGGUAGGUUCACAGCAUAUUGUAGAGUUCCUCUGCCUAAAGACCUUUUACUCGAUAUCUGGCCUCUAUUGCCUAAAUAGACAACUCAAGAUAGGGAUGAAUUGGAUUUUAGAAAAAUUUAAAACUUAUCGUGCUCAAUAAUUAAACUAAAUGAAGCAAGGUGUAUGAGAGCUAAGCAAUAAACAAUAAUAUG
rnacentral:lncRNA from 1 species